rnacentral:lncRNA from 1 species
GAAUGGCCUCAGAUCAUUUACACAAAUGAUUUUUACACUUCUGUAUACACAGAUGAUGUUGGUCUUGGUUUUAUUGGUUUGGACUUGGAGCUCCUGAACUCUAUCAACCAAAAACUGUCUCUUCUGGAUUUACUGAGGAAGGACAUUGGUGAAAUGAAGAGUGAUCUGGAGUCCACUCAAAAUCAAAUUACACUUUUACGAAUGGACAACAGAACAAUCAAAGAGCCGAAGACUGUCGGUGUAAAGGUAAAACCAGCAGUCUCCAAGGAAAAGGUCAAAACAGCAAAAAAAGACCAUGAUGCUCUGGUGAACGUUACUAAGAUGACAGCACAUAUUAAAGCAGAACGUGAUGCACUGAAAAACAUCAGUAAACCAGCACCUGCAAAGAAAGAUAAAGAGGCUCCAAAAGCUAAGAUCAGACCAGAGCCCAAAAAGAAAGGUAAAAUAUAUAUCUACUGUUAAGAAUUGAAAUCACCCACCACAAUCACUUUCUUCUAGUUUUCUAAGGGAGUGCUAUGUAAAAACAUAAGGUGUUCUUAUUGUUGUGUCAGUGACUAAAAAUCUCUCUCCUGAUGCUAGAAAUCACCCAUGAGGAGGUCAAACAAGUAAAGGAACCUUUACAGAAAGGUACAAUGGCUGAUUGUGUUAUGGCUAAUUUACCAACACAGACUUUACUUACACAGAC